AAAGUUUAAAAUAAGUAAAUAAUUUUACAAAGGUUGGUUUGGAAUAGUAAACAUAUUUACCUUGAGAAGGCUACUAUAGGUUUCAUCUUACUAAUAAAAGUAGUUGUACGUUAUUUUCACAAUUUGUUUUGUUUUUCAUAACUUUAACCCAUCUUAGUUUAUAUAAACUGUCAUUUUCUUUAUUUCUAUUUUUAUGGUCAUUUCUUAAAACAAAAUAUUAAGAUAUCAAUCAAUUAUGUUUUAGAAUUAUAGAUUUUGAAAAACUCAAAUAUCAAUACGUUAAAAUUAAAGUCAAUAAAUUUAAUUAUAAUGUUUUUUGCAUUUUCUCUAUUUUUAGUGUUUGAAACAUAUAUUUAAUUUUUUUUAAAAAUGUUUAAAAUAAGUAAAUAUUUCUACAAAUGUUUAUUUGGAAUAGUAAACAUAGUCACCUUGAGAAGGCUAUUAUAAGUUUCAUGUUACGAAUGAAAGUAGUUGUAUGUUAUUUUCACAAUUUGUUUUGUUUCUAAUAACUUUAACCCAUCUUAGUUUAUAUAAACUGUCAUUUUCUUUAUUUCUUUUUUUAUGGUCACUUUUUUAAAACAACAUAUUAUGAUAUCAAUAAAUUAUAUUUUAGAAUUUUAGAUUUAGAAAAACUCAAAUAUCAAUAUUUUACAAUUUAAGUCUAUAAAUUUAAUCAUAAUGUUUUUUGCAUUUUCUCUGUUUUUAGUCUUUAAAACAUAUAUUUAACUUUUUUUUAAAAAAGUUUAAAAUAAGUAAAUAAUUUUACAAAGGUUGGUUUGGAAUAGUAAACAUAGUCACCUUGAGAAGGCUACUAUAGGUUUCAUGUUACUAAUAAAAGUAGUUGUACGUUAUUUUCAUAAUUUGUUUUGUUUUUCAUAACUUUAACCCAUCUUAGUUUAUAUAAACUGUCAUUUUCUUUAUUUCUAUUUUUAUGGUCAUUUCUUUAAAACAAAAUAUUAAGAUAUCAAUCAAUUAUAUUUUAGAAUUAUAGAUUUUGAAAAACUCAAAUAUCAAUACGUUACAAUUAAAGUCAAUAAAUUUAAUUAUAAUGUUUUUUGCAUUUUCUCUGUUUUUAGUGUUUGAAACAUAUAUUUAACUUUUUUUUAAAAAUGUUUAAAAUAAGUAAAUAAUUCUACAAAGGUUGAUUUGGAAUAGUAAACAUAGUCACCUUGAGAAGGCUAUUAUAGGUUUCAUGUUACUAAUAAAAGUAGUUGUACGUUAUUUUCACAAUUUGUUUUGUUUUUCAUAACUUUAACCCAUCUUAGUUUAUAUAAACUGUCAUUUUCUUUAUUUCUUUUUUUAUGAUCACUUUUUUAAAACAACAUAUUAUGAUAUCAAUAAAUUAUAUUUUAGAAUUUUAGAUUUAGAAAAACUCAAAUAUCAAUAUUUUACAAUUUAAGUCUAUAAAUUUAAUCAUAAUGUUUUUUGCAUUUUCUCUGUUUUUAGUCUUUAAAACAUAUAUUUAACUUUUUUUUAAAAAAGUUUAAAAUAAGUAAAUAAUUUUACAAAGGUUGGUUUGGAAUAGUAAACAUAGUCACCUUGAGAAGGCUACUAUAGGUUUCAUGUUACUAAUAAAAGUAGUUGUACGUUAUUUUCAUAAUUUGUUUUGUUUUUCAUAACUUUAACCCAUCUUAGUUUAUAUAAACUGUCAUUUUCUUUAUUUCUAUUUUUAUGGUCAUUUCUUUAAAACAAAAUAUUAAGAUAUCAAUCAAUUAUAUUUUAGAAUUAUAGAUUUUGAAAAACUCAAAUAUCAAUACGUUAC
rnacentral:lncRNA from 1 species